GAUGAAUAACGUAGCGAAAUGCGAUAAGUAGUGUGAAUUGCAGAAUUCAGUGAAUCAUCGAAUCUUUGAACGCACAUUGCGCCCUUUGGUAUUCCUUAGGGCAUGCCUGUUCGAGCGUCAUUUGAAACCUCAAGCUCAGCUUGGUGUUGGGUGUCUGUCCCCGCCUCACCGCGGGGACUCGCCUCAAAAUCAUUGGCGGCCGGUACGUUGGCUUCGAGCGCAGCAGAAACGCGAACUCGAGGCCCGGCGGAUCGGCGACCAGAAGUCACUUCUUCACAGUUUGACCUCGGAUCAGGUAGGGAUACCCGCUGAACUUAAGCAUAUCAAUAAGCGGAGGA
rnacentral:misc_RNA from 1 species